AUAUAGCUUUGAAGGUUUAAUUGAAUCAUACACCUGUACAGAGGGCGAACAGAGGUUUAUGACGUCACUAUCUCGUUGCCCUGUUUGCCUUCUCGUUUAUCCCGAGACAUCAUGUGAGCCUACCACCAUUAGAGACGUCUGCUGCUGUAUUGUGGGUGAUGGCGGUUUUACAAUGAUUCUUUUAUGCAUUUAUGCAUGUUAUUAGCCGGAGUGAACCAGUGUGAUUCAACUGUGGGCUAUUUGUUAUACGAAUUCUUUGAAGUCAGGUUGAAUUUCCAACAAAAUUGCAGUGGUUUGUGUUAUUCCUUUCCAUGAAGAACCAUCCUGAACAGAUAAAUAGUCUGAACCUGUUCUACGUAGUAGAUUUCUGACUCGAUUUAGAAGGCUAGACGAGUUCCUCCGGCCUUCGUUUAUUUCGCCGUAGACCACCAAACGAACUGACGUCCGGUCGGAGUCUUGAGUCGACAGUUUCAUAUAGCGAUAAGGUUCUCAUGCUGAAGAUGACUUGUCUUCUGUGUCGCAGCGCAGAGUUCUAACCGCUAGACCACCGUGGCGACCCUAAUCGCAUUUUGAGCCACAGGAAGGGCAGUCCAGUCGUGACAAUUAUCCGACGUCGUUACUGGCAGCCAAUUUCGGUAUCUGCUGACUGUGCUGUGCUUAAGGUAUGUCCACUUCUGACUUUUAUUCCGAUUUAACACUGUCAGCAUCUCUCUCUCUCUCUCUCUCUCU